CGUAUUCACUACUGUAAGUCGCUCUGAAUAAGAGCGUCUGCUAAAUGACUAAAA
rfam:Salmo salar isolate Sally breed double haploid chromosome ssa15, whole genome shotgun sequence.